GUCAAAGGAAGAAUUUCAACCCCGACGGUUGGGAAUUGUUUUCAAAAGUUCUCGGACAUUUGAAUGUACCCGAAGGUGUUGUGAGAAACGAAAACCGUCUUGGAAUUGUUCGCGAAUAUAAAACCAAAGGUAUCCCGGAAAAUCUUCCCACCAGCCCUCGAGUGCAGCAAGAAAAGAGGAAAAAACGCAGAGACAAUAUUAGUAGUCCAUAUAAAUGGUUAAAAUAAUUUAUUUCUUGUAAG